GGAGCGGUAGUUCAGUUGGUUAGAAUACCGGCCUGUCACGCCGGUGGUCGCGGGUUCGAGCCCCGUCCGCUUCGCCA
rnacentral:tRNA from 3 species